rnacentral:lncRNA from 1 species
CUCAUCUGACGUAUUGGGUGGGAUAGAAGAAAGCUGGGAAUGUGCCAAGAGAAGUCUCUUUCAAGGCUGUCAGAAGCUGCUAUUAGCCUUGCUUCCACAAGGUCACUGCUGCGGGGAUCUUUCCUUGAGAGCUCGGAAAAUAAGCCUUGGAGGAACACUACUGAGUGUAUUUAAGCUGCCUGGUUUUCUCACCAUAGAACAGUCCUUGAGGGUGGGGACUGGAGCUUACUCAGGGGCAGCACCUGGCUCUGUCGCGUCUGCAGUAGGUGCUCGGUACAUUCGUGAACGGAACUGAUUUUCUCUCAGCGCUGUCAGGAGUAGCUGGCUGUUGUAGCACACCCCAUCCGCAUGAUGCUUUAACUGUGUAACUUCAGGUGUUGAGGGCUCAGGGUUCAGGUUAAAGAGGCACUGUCAACUUAUGUAUAAAAGUAUAAUAUAGGCUUUUCCUUUUUCUACUUGAAAAGGACCAGAUUUUUGAAAUAACCAUAUGUAAUUUAAAAGUUUGAAUCUAAAGCAGGGAAAAUUUUCUGCUUUUAGAAACUAAAAAUGUAGUUGAAUGCUACCUGGUUUAAAAACAGAGCAGGUAGCAGCAACAAAAGCCUUUCUACAAGGUGUUGAAAACUUUCUCAAGUGGCUAUAUGUGUGCAUACCUUUGGGGUACCACAGCUUGAAUCUUUUCAUGUACAGAUAAUAUGAUUUCACCCUAGAUUUGCUACCUUAAAAUGCAGUGUUUUAUGUAGACUACAUCUUGAUUGUACUUUAUGUGAAGUAUUUUCUUAAAAUGGCUUUGUGUGAAAUCAAAAUGUGUAUAUUUUCCUAGAGAUCUCCAUUGUGACUUUCAGAGACACAGCCUUAAAAAGUUGGCCCUGAGAAAUUCACUCUGUGUGUUUUCAGAUGGCCUCUAUACAUUGAGGUCAUUGGGUAUUGGAGAGCCUUCCCUAGCUGAAUUUUGGGGUUGAAGUUAGAAUUUUCUUACAAUUCGACUGAAAUUUGGUUAGUAAAAUAGUGCCCGGUUCAUAAAAUGCUGACUUUGCUAAGGCAAUACCAUAUUUAUUUAACAAAAUUGUGGAGAUUUUGAAUUCAAUGCUAUAGUAUUGGUAGUGAUUAAGAGUUCAGUCAGUCUAGAAGGCAAGUCACUUAACCUUCCUGGGCCUUAGUGUCCUCACUAGAAAACAGGGAUAAGAAUAGUAACUAUCUCAGGGUUCUUUUAAGGAUAAAAUGAGAUGUGUGUAAGAUACUUAGCUUGAGUGCCUGGCACAUAAUGAGUACUCCAUAAAUGUUAACUACUAUUAUUAUUAACAUUUAAUCUAGUGAGUCUUAGGGAUAUGCAACAAAAUUUUCUGGUAUUUAAAAAAAAAAGCAAAAAACCCUGAUGCAUUGGCCUUACCCCAGAUCAGAAUUCCCUGUGGGAUUGAGUCUCAGCCAGUGUGUUUUCCAAGAAUCCCUCCAGGUAUUUCAGACACGCAGCACUAUGUGAACACUAGCAAUACCCCAAAACUUUUCUUUACAGCUGAAGAAAUUGGGAGAGAAGAUGGUUAAGUUACUUGCCCAUUAUCUCAGAGCAGUUAAUUAGCAGCAGAGCCAAGGCUAGAGAUUGGGUCUAUUUUCUAGUGGGAUCUUUCCCCCAUUACUGCUGCCGUAGUGAGACGCUGCAAAAAAAAAAGGGGGGGGAGGGGGUCUCAGAUAGACAAUCAGUCUGCACGGUGCUGCACAUUUUGUAAAGCACACGUUUCCGGCACUGCCUGACCUUAAGGGCCUUGGAUGUUGAGUAACGGUAACACUAGCAAAGUAGGCAUUCAGUAGAACUCAGUAAUUAAAAAAAUUUCUAUGGGGUCAUUCUUUUGGACAGACCUCAGCGACAUAGCAAUUUGCACUUUGUAAUAAAGAAAUAACAACUUAAGUUUUAAAAAAAGCUAUUCUACAUUCCUUUUUCUUAAAAAAAGAAAACUUUAUUGUUCCAUGUCAUUUUAAUAACUUAUGAGAUAAUGUAUAAGAAAGCACUUUGAGAAAAGUAUCAAAUGUAAUAAAAGGUUGUAUUAAGGUUAGUUAAUGAGUUGCUGAUUGACUUAGAAGCUUUUGCCUGUGGAGGACCUGAAAACGUGAAUAUUUAAACAAUCAGCUCUGUAAUUUAUAACAUUUAUUAAUACGGAACUGGUAAAUUAAUACGUGCUGGUAUAGCAAGUGUUUUGCUAAAAUUGUAGCUCAGCACCGAAUAACUGCAGAAAACUAGGGACCAACGUUUUGGUUUAAUUUUAAUCUUUAAAAAGUAGUAAUGUGUACUCCAGAGCAAAGACGUUCUCCAGGGACCUUGACUCAAGAACGAGGCCCUCUCACCUUUGAACAUUUGUUCCUCAGAUGCUCAGCCAUUUAGUACCCUAAAUACGGUGGGAGAAGACUUGUUACUAGUUCAUGUUGACAGUGUCUUUUUUAACCUAUGUCCUGCAUAGUUCUGUUGGGUUUCUGGGGAGAAGAGGUUGGACGGCUGUAGGACCAAUGCACUUUGGGAAUUACUUUUCUAGGAUUUCUUACCAGUUAUAAAUGAUCUUGACAUUCAUCAUCCAUGGGUUUUGGUUUUUGUUUUUCCUAAGAAGAGUAGCUGAACAUAACUCGCCUAUUAAAUUAUAAAAAUACUCGAGACUAAAUUGCAUUGGUUGCCACUUCUGAAUUACAGCGUUUUCAUCCCUCGCACUCCCCUCUGUUUUUGCUACUGAUGUCAUCGUUACCGUCAGGUUACGUCCCCAGAGGUAUUCACUUUGGGCCGACAGGGUUGUCUUCAUUUUUAUUCUUUGAUUUCGGGCUCUCACCAUCUUGCUUGCAUUAACUUGUUCUACCUGGGUUUGGGGUCCAGCUCUGUGCCCUAAGCAUCUGUUGUGACCAGUUCUUUUUAUGUAGGUAAGUCUCUCUGGACUUGUUUCUUCUUAUGUAUUGGUAGUCUUCAGCUCUCUGUAUCUCUGUCUUAGCUUCUGUCAAGUCAGUAGCUCAGUUCUUUUGUACAUGCCUGCUUCAGUCCUGGCUAUGUAGCAGCAGGACAGAAAUAGAGAAAGGCAGUGCUCAGGUCGCCUGUAUCUUCCAUGUGACAACACAGGGAACUUGCUGCCAGCCACAGCCUCACUGGUCAGAGAGGAGAGGCCUUGGGCUUAUUCUAAAACUUGUCCCAGUCUUAACAGUCAGGAUAUUUAUAUUCUUG